rnacentral:rRNA from 1 species
GACGAACGCUGGCGGCGUGCCUAAUACAUGCAAGUAGAACGCACAGUUUAUACCGUAGCUUGCUACACCAUAGACUGUGAGUUGCGAACGGGUGAGUAACGCGUAGGUAACCUGCCUGGUAGCGGGGGAUAACUAUUGGAAACGAUAGCUAAUACCGCAUAAUAUUAAUUAUUGCAUGAUAAUUGAUUGAAAGAUGCAACUGCAUCACUACCAGAUGGACCUGCGUUGUAUUAGCUAGUAGGUGAGGUAACGGCUCACCUAGGCGACGAUACAUAGCCGACCUGAGAGGGUGAUCGGCCACACUGGGACUGAGACACGGCCCAGACUCCUACGGGAGGCAGCAGUAGGGAAUCUUCGGCAAUGGACGAAAGUCUGACCGAGCAACGCCGCGUGAGUGAAGAAGGUUUUCGGAUCGUAAAGCUCUGUUGUAAGAGAAGAACGGGUGUGAGAGUGGAAAGUUCACACUGUGACGGUAUCUGACCAGAAAGGGGCGGCUAACUACGUG